AUGAGUUAUUGCAUUUAUUUAACUGUUUGUAAUUACUGGUCUGUAUUUCCUUCUGUGCUGUCAUUCCUGGGUGCAGGCUUGUGGAAGAAGGAACAGGUGAAUGGACUGCAGGACCCACUGGCGAAGGUCCUGCUGCAGCCAUACAGGCUCCCAGCCUUGUUCAGGAAGGGGGUGAAGAAGGUGUGGGGGCUGCUGGAAGGUGUCAGGUCCCUGGUACAACGACUCCACAAGCUCCUCCAAACCUUGGUGCCUGGUUUGCCUAAGACACCUGUGGACAGGAGACACUGGGGGAGCCCAGCCUUGAGCUACAUUGGUGGCAAACCCAG
rnacentral:lncRNA from 1 species